rnacentral:tRNA from 1 species
GCGGACGUGGCGGAAUUGGUAGACGCGCUAGCUUGAGGGGCUAGUGGCUAUUAUGGCCGUGGAGGUUCAAGUCCUCUCGUCCGCA